rnacentral:rRNA from 1 species
GACGAACGCUGGCGGCGUGCCUAAUACAUGCAAGUGGGACGCAAGAGAACACACUGUGCUUGCACACCGUGUUUUCUUGAGUCGCGAACGGGUGAGUAACGCGUAGGUAACCUGCCUAUUAGCGGGGGAUAACUAUUGGAAACGAUAGCUAAUACCGCAUAAUAUUAAUUAUUGCAUGAUAAUUGAUUGAAAGAUGCAAGCGCAUCACUAGUAGAUGGACCUGCGUUGUAUUAGCUAGUUGGUAAGGUAAGGGCUUACCAAGGCGACGAUACAUAGCCGACCUGAGAGGGUGAUCGGCCACACUGGGACUGAGACACGGCCCAGACUCCUACGGGAGGCAGCAGUAGGGAAUCUUCGGCAAUGGACGAAAGUCUGACCGAGCAACGCCGCGUGAGUGAAGAAGGUUUUCGGAUCGUAAAGCUCUGUUGUAAGUCAAGAACGUGUGUGAGAGUGGAAAGUCACACAGUGACGGUAGCU